rnacentral:rRNA from 1 species
UACAGAGGGUGCAAGCGUUAAUCGGAAUUACUGGGCGUAAAGCGCACGCAGGCGGUUGGUUAAGUCAGAUGUGAAAGCCCCGGGCUCAACCUGGGAAUUGCGAUGGAGACUGCAAGGCUUGAAUCUGGCAGAGGGGGGUAGAAUUCCACGUGUAGCAGUGAAAUGCGUAGAGAUGUGGAGGAACACCGAUGGCGAAGGCAGCCCCCUGGGUCAAGAUUGACGCUGAGGUGCGAAAGCGUGGGGAGCAAACAGG